GGCAUAUAUCUGACCCUACUUGUCGCUCAGUUACGUAGUCAUAUUUAGCUGAAUAAGUUUACUUGUCAGUUAAUUUAGUCUUCUUGUAAUUAAUUUAGUCUUCUUGUAACUAGUUAAAAGUAUUGGUUUAUCUGACCUUGACCGCAAUUUCUUGCAGCAUAUUAAAUUGAUUGUGAUGUGAUAGUUUUUGUAAAGCUUUAUAUUUAGGACUAUCAACAUUAACAACACUGGUUAGUAAAGAACGCGAGACAUUUCAGCGUGUGCACUGUGGUCUACAUUUUGUAAGAUAUUUUUGGCGGAAGGUGUCAACGUAUAUUUGUGACGCAUACUUAUUAUAUAAACAGAAGUUCCAAUAGAAACUGUGUUA
rnacentral:lncRNA from 1 species